AUGUCUCCGGUGAAAGUAAUCCACGCGAGCUACGUCGAUGUGCCGACAACCGCCGUGCUGCCGCCGGAACCAAUCAAGCUCACCGCGAUGGAGGCACCGAGUGUCGUCCUCCCAGUGCUGCAGCACGUCCUGCUCUUCGAGUUCGUGGGCGCCGAGAUGCCGUCCUUCGACGAUGUUGUCCAAUCCCUCCGGUCGUCCCUCGCCGCGACCCUUGCCAGCUUCGCCCCGCUCGCUGGCAAGCUCGUCUACCUGAAGGAAACCGGCGACGUCGCCGUUAGCUGCUCCGCCUCCGACGGGGUCAGGUUCGUCGCCGCGGAGUCGGACGCCGACAUUGGGUGCCUGGCCGGCGACGAGGAGCACGACCUGGGCCUGCUCGAGCAGCUCGUCCCGAAGGUGGACAUGGGGGAGCUGCCGACCGCCGUGCUGGCGGUGCAAGCCACACGCUUCGAACGCGGCGUGGCGAUCGGGGUGACGGUGCACCACGCCGUCGCCGAUGGGCGGUCGCUGUGGACGUUCGUCUAG
rnacentral:rRNA from 1 species